AUUGAACGCUGGCGGCAUGCCUUACACAUGCAAGUCGAACGGCAGCGCGGGGCAACCUGGCGGCGAGUGGCGAACGGGUGAGUAAAAUAUCGGAACAUACCCUAGAGUGGGGGAUAACGUAGCGAAAGUUACGCUAAUACCGCAUACGCACUAAGGUGGAAAGUGGGGGAUCUUCGGACCUCAUGCUCAUGGAGUGGCCGAUAUCUGAUUAGCUAGUUGGUGAGGUAAAGGCUCACCAAGGCGACGAUCAGUAGCUGGUUUGAGAGAACGACCAGCCACACUGGAACUGAGACACGGUCCAGACUCCUACGGGAGGCAGCAGUGGGGAAUUUUGGACAAUGGGGGCAACCCUGAUCCAGCAAUGCCGCGUGAGUGAAGAAGGCCUUCGGGUU
rnacentral:rRNA from 1 species